GGCGCUAUCGUCUAAUGGUUAGGACACAAGAUUCUCAUUCUUGUAAUCGGGGUUCAAUUCCCCGUAGCGCUGCCA
rnacentral:tRNA from 2 species